rnacentral:rRNA from 1 species
GGCACUGCCCGGUAGCUAAAUGCGGAAGAGAUAAGUGCUGAAAGCAUCUAAGCACGAAACUUGCCCCGAGAUGAGUUCUCCCUGAGACUUAGAGUCUCCUGAAGGAACGUUGAAGACGACGACGUUGAUAGGCCGGGUGUGUAAGCGCAGCGAUGCGUUGAGCUAACCGGUACUAAUGAACCGUGAGGCUUAACCUUAC